ACCACCACAGCUGCAACACCACCAAAACUCUCUCUCGACAGCCAAAUCAGUCCAUAAAAAAGGACAUCAUGAGCCUUCUGCUUCUCUUUCUGGCUAUUCCAGUCACAGAAUACUGGACCAAAAAGAUUACUAAUUGAGUCAACAUGGCAUUUCCUACAUUACUGUGUAUGUGAAUACAGGCAUAUUAAAUUAAAAAACCAAACAAAUCUGGGUUUAAUACUAUGACCAAUAACAAGGACUUCAGUUGUAGUAUAGGAGCACAUAGACUGGAGACAUCUGAGAAAAAGGGAGACCUGGGUGUGCUGGUUGAUCAUAGGAUGACCAUGAGCUGCCAGUGCAAUGCAGCAGUGGGGUACAAAAAAAAAACUAAUGCAAUUCUAGGUUGUACUAGGCAGGAUAUGUGCAGUAGAGACAAGGAGAAUAUUAGUAGCAUUGUAUACUGUGUGACCCCAUUUAGAAUCCUGUAUGCAGUUCUGGUCACCAGUUCAGGAAAGAUGAACUAAAACUGAAAUGAAUUCAAUGAAGGGCCUCUAAGAUGGUUAAAGGAAUGAAAACAUUUUCUUAAGAAAGAUUAAAGGAGCCUGGCCUUUCUCAUACAGCUAAAUGGAGAUUCAGAGGGAUAUGGUCAUAUUUUACAAAUGCAUUCAUGGGUGAAUAUUUAGGCAAGAAAAGCAUUUUUCAGGCUGAAAAUAGGCCCAACACAAAAAUCAAAUGACUACAGACUAGCUAUGAAUACAUUUAAACUGGAAAUUAAAAGAUUUCUAAAUAUCAGAAAAAUCAAGUUUGAAAUGGUGUUCCAAGCCCACAGGUAGUAGGCAAAAACCUGAUUUGCUUUAAGAUGAAACUGGAUACGUUUAUGGAAAGGAUGGUGUGAGAAGACAGGGAGUUAUGGCUGAACAACCUGGGUGUUUGUGGUCCCCCAGGCUGGGACAAAUACCUUAUAGUGUGGGAAGUGUCUUGCAAACUCAUUCCUCAGGACUUCUGCAGGUCACCCAUUGGGACCAGGAAAACUUUUUCACCUCAUGAAUGCUAUCGACUUCUGGGUUUUGGGGGUUAUUAUUUAUCUUUUGCUGAGGCACUGGAAUAUUGGCCACAGUUAAAUCUGGUGUUUUUUGACUGGGGUGCACUGAUGAUCCCACUGGCACUUAGAAAACCAGAGGCUACCUGGGUAGAGGGCCUUGUUCUGCUCAGGCUCAUAUCACUCAAAUUUGAGGUCAUGAGAGAAUUUUCCCCCUAGGUCAGAUUGGCAAGGACUGUGAGGUUUUUUGCCUUUCCUGUAGCAUAAGGCAAAUCAUUGCCUAG